rnacentral:rRNA from 1 species
UGGGGAAUAUUGCACAAUGGGGGAAACCCUGAUGCAGCGACGCCGCGUGAAGGAAGAAGUAUUUCGGUAUGUAAACUUCUAUCAGCAAGGAAGAUAAUGACGGUACUUGACUAAGAAGCCCCGGCUAACUACGUGCCAGCAGCCGCGGUAAUACGUAGGGGGCAAGCGUUAUCCGGAUUUACUGGGUGUAAAGGGAGCGUAGGUGGCAUGGCAAGUCAGAUGUGAAAGCCCGGGGCUCAACCCCGGGACUGCAUUUGAAACUGCCAGGCUGGAGUGCAGGAGAGGUAAGUGGAAUUCCUAGUGUAGCGGUGAAAUGCGUAGAUAUUAGGAGGAACACCAGUGGCGAAGGCGGCUUACUGGACUGUAACUGACACUGAGGCUCGAAAGCGUGGGGAGCAAACAG